rnacentral:rRNA from 1 species
UGGGGGUGGGUAAGGACGGUGCCAGCCGCCGCGGUAAUACCGGCGCCUCAAGUGGUAGUCGCUUUUAUUGGGCCUAAAACGUCCGUAGCCGGUCUGGUACAUUCGUGGGUAAAUCAACCCGCUCAACGGGUUGAAUUCUGCGAGCACGGCCAGACUUGGGACCGGGAGAGGUGUGGGGUACUCUCAGGGUAGGGGUAAAAUCCUGUCAUCCUGAGAGGACCACCUGUUGCGAAGGCGCCCCACUAAAACGGAUCCGACGGUCAGGGACAAAACCUAGGGGCACGAACCGGAUUAAAUACCCGGGUAGUCCUAGGUGUAAACGCUGUGGACUUGAUGUUGGGGGCGCUCCGAGCGCUCUCAGUGUCGAAGCGAAGGUGAUAAGUCCACUGCCUGGGGAGUACGGUCGCAAGGCUGAAACUUAAAGGAAUUGGCGG